AAGCGUUAAAGCUCCGGUAAAUACAGACCAAUAAUAAAGACAAUACACUCCCCACCCCCUAAAAAUAUUAAGCUAUCCUAUGCACACAUAGGAGAAACAAUGCUAAAAUCAGUAAUAAGAGGGCCCAAGCCCUCUCCUAGCACAUGUGUAAGUCAGAACGGACCGACCACUGACAAUCAACGGACCCAAGCAGAGAGAAAAAGAACAAACUACAAAAAACAAGAAAAAUCUAUUUAAUACCACAAACCGUUAACCCAACACAGGAGUGCCUAAAGGAAAGACUAAAAGGAGAAGAAGGAACUCGGCAAACACAAACCCCGCCUGU
rnacentral:rRNA from 1 species